rnacentral:rRNA from 3 species
AAAACUUUCAACAACGGAUCUCUUGGUUCUGGCAUCGAUGAAGAACGCAGCGAAAUGCGAUAAGUAAUGUGAAUUGCAGAAUUCAGUGAAUCAUCGAAUCUUUGAACGCACAUUGCGCCCCCUGGUAUUCCGGGGGGCAUGCCUGUCCGAGCGUCA